UGAUAGAAGGACAUUUUCUAUGUUACUGUUCGGUUUGUGUUUUGAUUGUUAAUGAAUACCACUAAUAGCACUAAACUAUUUUUUGGUUGUGAAUGAUUUUGUGUUUAUUGUUAGAUGGAUAUCAACAAAAAUUAGAUAAAUGCUAGAGGUAUUUUUUUGUUUGAAUAUCGAAAAGGAGUUCGAGAUUUUAUUGAGUUUACAUGGCAUAAGGCUGACAGUGCUAGUCGAAUAAAGUGUCCAUGUAAGAGAUGUGUCAAUUUGGUAUAUCAUUACAUAACACUUGUUGAGGAGCAUCUGCUACAAUAUGGUAUGGAUAAGAAUUAUACUUGUUGGAUAUGGCAUG
rnacentral:lncRNA from 1 species